AAGUCGUAACAAGGUAUCCGUAGGUGAACCUGCGGAUGGAUCAUUACCAAUUUAUAUAUAUGUUAGUUUGUAUACCGCUGUCAAAGGGGGUUAUACACAACUACUAUGUAAACGUUGAACUAGAUCAAUUGGUGUGGAUUGCUUGGGAAUGGACGAAGCGAUGAGCCUCUUCCGGACAGGCAAGCCCCACACUGAUAACCUUUUUCAUAUCAUUUACUCGUAUAUACUACCACAACAACAAAAACAAAAGCUAUAAUAGGACCUAUUAAUGGCUGAGUGGGUAACAUCCUCGGCUUAAACAUAUAACUAUUACAACUUUCAGCAAUGGAUCUCUAGGCUCUC
rnacentral:misc_RNA from 1 species